GUCGAACGAGAACGGAUUAUAGCUUGCUAUAAUUGUCAGCUAAGUGGCGCACGGGUGAGUAAUGUAUAGAUAACCUGCCCUUAAGAAAGGAAUAACAGUUGGAAACGACUGCUAAUGCCCUAUAUGCCUUUAAUACAUAAGUAUGCAAGGGAAACGCUUUAGUGCUUAAGGAUGGGUCUGUAUGGUAUCAGCUUGUUGGUGAGGUAAUGGCUCACCAAGGCUAUGACGCCUAACUGGUUUGAGAGGAUGAUCAGUCACACUGGAACUGAGACACGGUCCAGACUCCUACGGGAGGCAGCAGUGGGGAAUAUUGCACAAUGGACGAAAGUCUGAUGCAGCAACGCCGCGUGGAGGAUGACACAUUUCGGUGCGUAAACUCCUUUUAUAUAGGAAGAUAAUGACGGUACUAUAUGAAUAAGCACCGGCUAACUCCGUGCCA
rnacentral:rRNA from 1 species